rnacentral:tRNA from 1 species
AUUGUAUGACAGAAUAUUGUAAUAAAAUUAGAAUUUAUUAAUAAAAUAAUA